rnacentral:rRNA from 1 species
UGGGGAAUAUUGGACAAUGGGCGCAAGCCUGAUCCAGCCAUGCCGCGUGAGUGAUGAAGGCCUUCGGGUUGUAAAGCUCUUUUAGCGGGGACGAUGAUGACGGUACCCGCAGAAUAAGCCCCGGCUAACUUCGUGCCAGCAGCCGCGGUAAGACGAAGGGGGCUAGCGUUGCUCGGAAUUACUGGGCGUAAAGCGCGUGUAGGCGGCUGUUCAAGUUGGGCGUGAAAGCCUUGGGCUUAACCCAAGAAAUGCGCUCAAUACUGGAUAGCUAGAGGACCGGAGAGGAUAGUGGAAUUCCCAGUGUAGUGGUGAAAUACGUAGAGAUUGGGAAGAACACCAGUGGCGAAGGCGGCUAUCUGGACGGUUUCUGACGCUAAGACGCGAAAGCGUGGGGAGCAAACAG